rnacentral:misc_RNA from 1 species
UUUGAAAUUUCAUAAUGUUCGAAAUAAAAUUAUGUGUAUAAUGUUACACAGUAUAUCUUCUAUCUACAGAUAUAUUGCUAUAAGCAUGUCGGUGAUGCGAAUGCACGAGAUUUCACCCAUCCAAAAAGCGUCCUAACGCGCACCGAACACGACCGCCGAUAAAAUUUUCCCCAACCAAAAAAGUUUGUUUGAGGGCAAUGCCUUAUUGUAAUUCUUUCGAUGAAUGUGGUACUGUGACCAUCACUGCCGUAAAACUGUUACCAUAUCAAAUUUAAAGCGAGCGACGCCGUGUAUCAAGUCUAGUAUAUCGAAAUUAAAUAUUAGCACUUCAAAAGCACUUGAAAUUAAAUUUAUAUUUUUAUAAAUUAUCUUCUUCUAAUAUAUAAAAUUCUCGUGUCAUGGUGUUAAACAUUGAACUCCUCCGAAACGGCUCGACCGAUUUUAAUAAAAUUUUGUGGGCAUAUCGGGUAGGUCUGAGAAUCGGCCAACAUCUAUUUUUCAUACCCCUAAGUUAUAAGGGGGGGGGGGGUGGAUUAAGCGGGUUAAUAACAUAUAUGGCAAAGAAACGUUUGCGGGGUCAGCUAGUUUCUUGAUAAAAAGUGAAGCUACCAACGCCAUCGAUUCGUAAUGUGGACUCCGAGAAGAACACGCAAAAACUACAUAUAUCUAAUGUCAUUGACAUUUAUAUGUCAUAUUAACAUAUUAAUAAUUUUAUUAAACUUUUAAACUAUUCAUUGAUUCAAAAUAAAAAGUGAUUUAAAUAUAUUUCGGACAUCAAAAGAAUAAUAAUUGAUGUUUCGAUUAUUGGGUGAUGGACGAUGAUAAAAAAAAUCGCUAAAAUAAUAUAAUUUAUGGUAGUUAACUCCUUGAGAUUUAACGAUAUAAAGCUUGUGGAGUGGAAGCAAUAUGGGUACUUAAAUCGCUUGAAACAGUAACGACUAAAAAAAAUAAAAAUAAAUAACGAUUGUGCUUUAGACCACACGACUGAAGUAAAACUUCCUAUUUUUAACUCCAAUCGCCCUCUCCAACUUCCGUUCGCAUCGCCCGAUCUCAUUUUUCGUAACGCCCUCGUCACGCAUUCACCAGCUCACUCCCGAAAUCGAGUGUGUGUGUAAACACCAGUCGUUUCGAAGCUGACACAUUCCCUUUUAUGUUCGUUUUUAUGGAACAAUAAUAGCUUUAAAAGGGCUCGAAAUUGUAUUUACUUUAAGUUAAGACAUCUUUGAAUGAAUGUACGAAUAAUGAAACCCAAUGUUCUUGUGGCCUAGCAUUGUUGGAAAUAUUUGUACCAUGUACGGUACCAUAUUCUACGGUACUUGUACAAUUCUAAAUUGUCAUGGUACUAGUCUAAUUGACUAAAAAAAUGUUACAUACGAUUUGUUUUAAGUUAAAAUCUUAUUAAAAAAAAAACUAUCAUUAAAGACUGGUCGACUUGUUCUAUACUUAUUUUAUUUAAUCAAAAGUAAUAUCUACGGGUUACUACCUAUGUCACCGCGGACACUAAUCGGACUUCAAUAUUACAAGCUUUGAUUCAUCAUCAUCGUCAUCAUCAUCAUCAUCAUCAUCUGUUUCUGUAGUAAAUUGUAAUUAAAAUUGUGUUAUAGUUAAAUCUUUAUUAUUAGUUAUUUUGCUUUCGCUUUUAAUUUCGAUUGAUGGAUAGUGAUAACAGAACCGUAGACGAAACUGAGGUCGACGGUUCUGCCGUUUUUAAAAAUGUUAGUGACCCAGCUAAUCUGAUAUAAUAUGAUAAAAGCGAUAACGAUUUAAAAUGCAGUUUGCAACAUCCCACUGCUGGGCAACGCUUCCUCCAUGUAACAUCUAUGUGUAUACACAUGAAAAAAUUACAAUCGAAUUGAAAAUCUUUUUUUGAAUUCAGUUAAAUCUAUCUUGUGCUUAAAUGACGAUGAGAACAGCUGUUUAGUAGGACUUAUCCCGAUGAGCAAAUCUGGGUAUAAAGUAGGACUUAUCAUAAUGAGCAAGUGUAGUUAUACCCUUACAGUGUAGGUAGUAAUGUGUAGGUAGUCUAUUGGCCUAUUUUUUUUUUUUUUUUUCGUAAAUGACAACUCUAUACAAUGUUGCCAACUUAAAUUUUUAUUUUAUAAGUUACUUUAGAGAUUACUCAUUCAUAUUUUAGUUUGUAAGAAAAAAUAUAUUUUCCUUUAAAAGUAUUAUUAUUUUUUAAAUUUAUAUUUUGCAUUUAGUCGUCUGUUUGUGUAUUGAAUCUGACGGUACUCGAAAAUUGUAUUUUAUUUUUAAUAAUAAACCUUUUUUUAAUAAUUAUGCAAUAAUGAUCAACAGAUUAUAAAUAUUUUAUUAAUGUAAUAUUACCAGUGUAAAUUAUUUGCAUGUAUAUAUUAAAAUAAAUAUAAAAUUAUUCUAUU